AUGAACCACAAAUGAUUUUUACUUGUUUUUGCAUUCAGGCAUCAAGCAAAUAGAAACAACCCAAAUUGAGAGCAAAACAGGAAGAAGCAGCUGGCAAAAAUGUGGAAAGUUUCGUAAUUCUCAAAAAGGAACUGGGUGUUCAGGUGUGGAGGAGAAUGAUGAGAGCGUUGAAACGGAGACAAUGACCAACAAAUUACAGAUGUGCAAUGAUACCUCUGCCAGUAGAGUUUUGCCUGAACAAAGAAAAAAAUAAGUCAUUCAAACAUAAAAAUGACAAAAAUUUUUCCAUAAGGGCCAAAACUUCAGAGGAAUAAUUCCAAGUCACAAUCCUCAAAGCAAA